AGCGAACGCUGGCGGCAGGCCUAACACAUGCAAGUCGAACGAAGCCUUCGGGCUUAGUGGCGGACGGGUGAGUAACACGUGGGAACGUACCUUUUGGUUCGGAACAACUCAGGGAAACUUGAGCUAAUACCGGAUGAGCCCUUAGGGGGAAAGAUUUAUCGCCGAAAGAGCGGCCCGCGUUAGAUUAGCUAGUUGGUGAGGUAAAGGCUCACCAAGGCUACGAUCUAUAGCUGGUCUGAGAGGAUGAUCAGCCACACUGGGACUGAGACACGGCCCAGACUCCUACGGGAGGCAGCAGUGGGGAAUCUUGCGCAAUGGGCGAAAGCCUGACGCAGCCAUGCCGCGUGAAUGAUGAAGGUCUUAGGAUUGUAAAAUUCUUUUACCAGGGACGAUAAUGACGGUACCUGGAGAAAAAGCCCCGGCUAACUUCGUGCCAGCAGCCGCCGCAGUAA
rnacentral:rRNA from 1 species